UACAGAGGGGGCAAGCGUUGUUCGGAAUUACUGGGCGUAAAGGGCGCGUAGGCGGCCUUUCUAAGUCGAACGUGAAAUCCCCGGGCUCAACCCGGGAACUGCGUCCGAUACUGGAAGGCUUGAAUCCGGGAGAGGGAUGCGGAAUUCCAGGUGUAGGAGGUGAAAUUCGUAGAUAUUCGGAAAGAACACCAGUGGCGAAGGCGACUCGCUGGACAGGUAUUGACGCUGAGGUGCGAAAGCGUGGGGAGCAAACAGG
rnacentral:rRNA from 1 species